AGAGUUUGAUCCUGGCUCAGAUUGAACGCUGGCGGCAGGCCUAACACAUGCAAGUCGAGCGGCAGCACAGAGAAACUUGUUUCUCAGGUGGCGAGCGGCGGACGGGUGAGUAAUGCCUGGGAAAUUGCCCUGAUGUGGGGGAUAACCAUUGGAAACGAUGGCUAAUACCGCAUGAUGCCUACGGGCCAAAGAGGGGGACCUUCGGGCCUCUCGCGUCAGGAUAUGCCCAGGUGGGAUUAGCUAGUUGGUGAGGUAAGGGCUCACCAAGGCGACGAUCCCUAGCUGGUCUGAGAGGAUGAUCAGCCACACUGGAACUGAGACACGGUCCAGACUCCUACGGGAGACAGCAGUGGGGAAUAUUGCACAAUGGGCGCAAGCCUGAUGCAGCCAUGCCGCGUGUGUGAAGAAGGCCUUCGGGUUGUAAAGCACUUUCAGUAGGGAGGAAGGUGGUAGUGUUAAUAGCGCUAUCAUUUGACGUUACCUACAGAAGAAGCACCGGCUAACUCCGUGCCAGCAGCCGCGGUAAUACGGAGGGUGCGAGCGUUAAUCGGAAUUACUGGGCGUAAAGCGCAUGCAGGUGGUUUGUUAAGUCAGAUGUGAAAGCCCCGGGCUCAACCUGGGAAUUGCAUUUGAAACUGGCAAACUAGAGUACUGUAGAGGGGGGUAGAAUUUCAGGUGUAGCGGUGAAAUGCGUAGAGAUCUGAAGGAAUACCGGUGGCGAAGGCGGCCCCCUGGACAGAUACUGACACUCAGAUGCGAAAGCGUGGGGAGCAAACAGGAUUAGAUACCCUGGUAGUCCACGCCGUAAACGAUGUCUACUUGGAGGUUGUGGCCUUGAGCCGUGGCUUUCGGAGCUAACGCGUUAAGUAGACCGCCUGGGGAGUACGGUCGCAAGAUUAAAACUCAAAUGAAUUGACGGGGGCCCGCACAAGCGGUGGAGCAUGUGGUUUAAUUCGAUGCAACGGAAGAACCUUACCUACUCUUGACAUCCACAGAAUCCUUUAGAGAUAGAGGAGUGCCUUCGGGAACUGUGAGACAGGUGCUGCAUGGCUGUCGUCAGCUCGUGUUGUGAAAUGUUGGGUUAAGUCCCGCAACGAGCGCAACCCUUAUCCUUGUUUGCC
rnacentral:rRNA from 1 species